UGGGGAAUAUUGCACAAUGGAGGGAACACUGAUGCAGCGACGCCGCGUGAACGAAGAAGGCUUUCGAGUCGUAAAGUUCUUUUAUAUGGGAAGAUAAUGACGGUACCAUAAGAAAAAGCCCCGGCUAACUACGUGCCAGCAGCCGCGGUAAUACGUAGGGGGCUAGCGUUGUCCGGAAUCACUGGGCGUAAAGGGUUCGCAGGCGGAAAUGCAAGUCAGGUGUAAAAGGCAGUAGCUUAACUACUGUAAGCAUUUGAAACUGCAUAUCUUGAGAAGAGUAGAGGUAAGUGGAAUUUUUAGUGUAGCGGUGAAAUGCGUAGAUAUUAAAAAGAAUACCGGUGGCGAAGGCGACUUACUGGGCUCAUUCUGACGCUGAGGAACGAAAGCGUGGGUAGCAAACAGG
rnacentral:rRNA from 1 species